rnacentral:lncRNA from 1 species
CGAUCUCUUCUGGGCUUUACUUUAGGCGACCUUGUCAGAGCGCUGCUGUGAUACACUCCCUGGAUUCCGCAGCCCUCGGCUGACACAGGUGAAAUUGAGAAAGAGGUAGGAAGGGUUCCAAGGAGGGGUGACAGCGUCGACCUGCUGGGCUUUCUCAUCCUCUAACCACCUCUGGCUAACAUCCUCCUGCCAGGGGAACAGUUCCACCCCCUGGGCUGAGCCGGUGCCAAACAACAGGUGGUAGUCAAGGUCUCUCUACAUAUCCCUGGCUGUCCUGGAGUUCACUAUGUAGACCAGGUUGGCCUCUAAGUCAGAGAUACCCCUGCUUCAGUCCCCAGAGUGCUGGGUUUAAAAUCAUGUGCCACCAUACAGGGUCAGGGUUGAAGUCACUUUAUUAUUAGGCCUCCACUGAGAACCCUGCUUGCUCCUUUUGGUGACUUAUGGUGCUAUCCUCAAAAUACAUCUUCUCAGCCGGGCAGUGGUGGUGCACACCUUUAAUCCCAGCACUUGGGAGGCAGAGGCAGGUGGAUUUCUGAGUUCGAGGCCAGCCUGGCCUACAGAGUGGGUUCCAGGACAGCCAGGGCUACACAGGGAAACCCUGUCUCAAAAAACAAAACAAAACAACAACAAUAAAAAAGAUAUAUCUUCUCAAAGAGCUACGAGGAGACCCAGGAGAACUCAGCUAAGUCUGCAUGGUCUCUAAGACUGAGGUCUUAGAGAGGCUCCAGGAGCAUCAAAGCAGAGAGGCUAUAUAUGGACUGGAGAUUAAGCCCAGGGUUUUGUACAUUCCAGGUAAGCACUGUACCCCAUCCCAUGAAAGUUUCUAAAAUUAUUUCUCUUUUUAGAGUCUAAUUGACCUAUAUUUUUCUUUGGUUGUGUCUUAGUUACGUUUCUAUUGCUGUGAUAAAAGUGGCUUGGCCAAGGUGACUUAGAGAGGAAAGGGCUUGCUUGGCCUGUGGUUUGCUUGAUCUGUUUGCUUGGUCUGUGGUUUGCUUGGCCUGUGGUUUGCUUGGCCUGUGGUUUGCUUGGCCUGUGGUUUGCUUGGUCUGUGGUUUGCUUGGUCUGUGGUUUGCUUGGUCUGUGGUUUGCUUGGUCUGUGGUUUGCUUGGCCUGUGGUUUGCUUGGCCUGUGGUUUGCUUGGCCUGUGGUUUGCUUGGUCUGUGGUUUGCUUGGUCUGUGGUUUGCUUGGUCUGUGGUUUGCUUGGCCUGUGGUUUGCUUGGCCUGUGGUUUGCUUGGCCUGUGGUUUGCUUGGUCUGUGGUUCCAGAGAGGUAAGAAGCAGGGAGACAGGCAGCAAGUGGCAGGCGUGGCCACAGGAGCAGGGCUCCUGACUACAAGUUGGAAAGAGCGUAAAUUUGAAAUGGUACAAGUUUUAAACUCUCCAAGUCCACCUUCAGUGACAUACUUCCUCCAGUAUAAGGCCACGAUCCCCAGACUCCCAAACAGCAGCAUGAAUUGGGAGCCAAGUAUUCAAAUGCUAUGGAGAACAUUUCACAUUCCAGCCAUCAUAUUUGCUUGGGUAUUGGAUGCUCUAUCUAAGAAACCAUUUGCUUAUGGAGGCUUACAUCUAUGCUUGCUUAUAAAAGCUAUACUUUUAGUUCUUUCUGAGACAGGGUCUCAUUGUGUACUGUGGCUGGCUUGGAACUCUCUGUGUAGAACAGACUGGU